AGUGAACGCUGGCGGUAGGCCUAACACAUGCAAGUCGAACGGCAGCACAGUAAGAGCCUGCUCUUACGGGUGGCGAGUGGCGGACGGGUGAGGAAUACAUCGGAAUCUACUUUUUCGUGGGGGAUAACGUAGGGAAACUUACGCUAGUACCGCAUACGACCUACGGGUGAAAGCAGGGGAUCUUCGGACCUUGCGCGAUUGAAUGAGCCGAUGUCGGAUUAGCUAGUUGGCGGGGUAAAGGCCCACCAAGGCGACGAUCCGUAGCUGGUCUGAGAGGAUGAUCAGCCAAACUGGAACUGGGAAACGGUCCAGACUCCUACGGGAGGCAGCAGUGGGGAAAUUUGGAACAUGGGGGCAAGCCUUAUCCAGGCAUACCGGGUGGGUGAAGAAGGCCUUCAGGUUGUAAAGCCCUUUUGUUGGGAAAGAAAAGCAGCAGGUUAAUACCCCGCUGUUCUGACGGUACCCAAAGAAUAAGCACCGGCUAACUUCGUG
rnacentral:rRNA from 1 species